rnacentral:rRNA from 1 species
AGGACGAACGCUGGCGGCGUGCCUAACACAUGCAAGUCGAACGGGGUCCAACCGGUGGCAACACUGGUGAAGACCUAGUGGCGAACGGGUGAGUAUCACGUGAGCAACCUGCCCCGAAGACUGGGAUAACACCGGGAAACCGGUGCUAAUACCGGAUGUCCCCACCGAAUCGCAUGGUUUGGUGAGGAAAUGAAUUUCGCUUUGGGAGGGACUCGCGGCCUAUCAGCUUGUUGGUGGUGUAACGGACCACCAAGGCUUCGACGGGUAGCUGGUCUGAGAGGACGAUCAGCCACACUGGGACUGAGACACGGCCCAGACUCCUACGGGAGGCAGCAGUGGGGAAUCUUGCGCAAUGGGCGAAAGCCUGACGCAGCAACGCCGCGUGAGGGACGAAGGCCUUCUGGGUUGUAAACCUCUUUCAGCAGGGACGAUGAUGACGGUACCUGCAGAAGAAGCCCCGGCCAACUACGUGCCAGCAGCCGCGGUAAUACGUAGGGGGCGAGCGUUGUCCGGAAUCAUUGGGCGUAAAGAGCUCGUAGGCGGCUUUGCAAGUCGGGUGUAAAACCUCCAGGCUCAACCUGGAGUCGCCACUCGAUACUGCAAUGGCUAGAGUCCGGUAGGGGAUCACGGAAUUCCUGGUGUAGCGGUGAAAUGCGCAGAUAUCAGGAGGAACACCGGUGGCGAAGGCGGUGGUCUGGGCCGGAACUGACGCUGAGGAGCGAAAGCGUGGGGAGCGAACAGGAUUAGAUACCCUGGUAGUCCACGCCGUAAACGUUGGGCACUAGGUGUGGGACCCUAUCGACGGGUUCCGUGCCGCAGCUAACGCAUUAAGUGCCCCGCCUGGGGAGUACGCCGCAAGGC